GUGAAUCAUCGAAUCUUUGAACGCAAAUUGCACUUUCUGGUAUUCCGGAGAGUAUGCCUGUUUGAGGGUCAGUGUAAUAAAUAAAUCGUGGUUGUUACCACCUUUCGUGGUAACGCUUCGGAAUUGAGUCAUCUUACCUUCGGUUAAGUGACUUAAAAUUUUAUCAUACGAUUUCGAAACGUAUUUAAUGUAUUAUGUACGUUCACGAAUAUCGAAUGUUUAUUAGGUGCGGUCAUUUUCAUGAAUCGUGUCUAUAAUUUUUUUUUUUUGACCUCAAAUCAGGUAAGAAUACCCGCUGAA
rnacentral:misc_RNA from 1 species